CCCGGGCCUUGUACACACCGCCCGUCACGGCGUGGGAGUUGGUUUUACCCGAAGACGGUGCGCUAACCGCAAGGAGGCAGCCGGCCACGGUAGGAUCAGCGACUGGGCCG
rnacentral:rRNA from 1 species